UACAGAGGGUGCAAGCGUUAAUCGGAUUUACUGGGCGUAAAGGGCGCGUAGGUGGUUAUUUAAGUGAGAUGUGAAAUCCCCGGGCUUAACCUGGGAACUGCAUCUUAUACUGGAUAGCUGGAGUACAUUAGAGGGUAGUGGAAUUUCCGGUGUAGCAGUGAAAUGCGUAGAGAUCGGGAGGAACAUCUGUGGCGAAGGCGGCCAUCUGGACCAGCACUGACACUGAGGCACGAAAGCGUGGGGAGCAAACAGGG
rnacentral:rRNA from 1 species